ACUACGGGGGGCAGCAGUCGAGAAUCAUUCACAAUGGGGGAAACCCUGAUGGGGCGACGCCGCGUGGGGGAAUGAAGGUCUCCGGAUGGUAAACCCCUGUCAUGGGGGAGCAAAUUAAAAAGAUAGUACCACAAGAGGAAGAGACGGCUAACGCUGUGCCAGCAGCCGCGGUAAUACAGAGGUCUCAAGCGUUGUUCGGAAUCACUGGGAGUAAAGCGUGCGUAGGCUGUUUCGUAAGUCGUGUGUGAAAGGCGCGGGCUCAACCCGCGGACGGCACAUGAUAAUGCUAGACUAGAGGAAUGGAGGGGGAACCGGAAUUCUCGGUGUAGCAGUGAAAUGCGUAGAUAUCGAGAGGAACACUCGUGGCGAAGGCGGGUUCCUGGACAUUAACUGACGCUGAGGCACGAAGGCCAGGGGAGCGAAAGGGAUUAGAUACCCGAGUAGUC
rnacentral:rRNA from 1 species